rnacentral:rRNA from 1 species
UACGUAGGGUGCGAGCGUUGUCCGGAAUUACUGGGCGUAAAGAGCUCGUAGGUGGCCUGGCAAGCGUGCGGUGAAAGCUCGGGGCUCAACCCCGAGUCGGCCGUGCGAACUGCUGGGCUCGAGCACUGUAGAGGCAGGCGGAAUUCCGGGUGUAGCGGUGGAAUGCGUAGAGAUCCGGAAGAACACCGGUGGCGAAGGCGGCCUGCUGGGCAGUGGCUGACACUGAGGCGCGACAGCGUGGGGAGCAAACAGG